rnacentral:rRNA from 1 species
ACGGAGGGUGCGAGCGUUAAUCGGAAUCACUGGGCGUAAAGCGCACGUAGGCGGUGUCGUAAGUCGGAUGUGAAAGCCCUCGGCUCAACCGGGGAACUGCAUUCGAUACUGCGAUGCUUGAGUGCCGGAGAGGAUGGCGGAAUUCCAGGUGUAGGGGUGAAAUGCGUAGAUAUGUGGAGGAACACCAGUGGCGAAGGCGGCUUCCUGGACGGCAUCUGACACUGAGGUGCGAAAGCGUGGGGAGCGAACAG